CACAACAAACACACAAAAUGAAUCUCUUCAUCAUCACCUUCAUGUGGAUUCUUGCUGUUUUUAUUCAAGAGUCCAGAGGAGUUACUGUAACUCAGAGUAAAGCUGAAUCUGUUUCUGAGGGUCAAAAUGUAAAUAUAAAGUGUACAACUAAUCCUGGAAUAGAUAGCUGGGGUUUAUCUUGGUAUCAGCAGAAACCUGGAGAAGCUCCUAAACUCCUCAUUUAUCAGUUUAGCAAAAGAUACUCAGCACUGAAUGAAUGAAGCACGUAUGAAUAGAAAGCCACUGUUGUGAGACAUGAAUGAGAAGAAGAGC